rfam:Yarrowia lipolytica complete mitochondrial genome, strain W29
GAAUUAAUAGCUUAAUGGUAAAGCAUACACUUGUCACGUGUAGAAAUGUCUGUUCGACUCAGAUUUAAUUCG